GAGUUUGAUCCUGGCUCAGGACGAACGCUGGCGGCGCGCCUAACACAUGCAAGUCGAACGAGCGAGAGAGAGCUUGCUUUCUCAAGCGAGUGGCGAACGGGUGAGUAACGCGUGAGGAACCUGCCUCAAAGAGGGGGACAACAGUUGGAAACGACUGCUAAUACCGCAUAAGCCCACGACCCGGCAUCGGGUAGAGGGAAAAGGAGCAAUCCGCUUUGAGAUGGCCUCGCGUCCGAUUAGCUAGUUGGUGAGGUAACGGCCCACCAAGGCGACGAUCGGUAGCCGGACUGAGAGGUUGAACGGCCACAUUGGGACUGAGACACGGCCCAGACUCCUACGGGAGGCAGCAGUGGGGAAUAUUGCACAAUGGGGGAAACCCUGAUGCAGCGACGCCGCGUGGAGGAAGAAGGUCUUCGGAUUGUAAACUCCUGUUGUUGAGGAAGAUAAUGACGGUACUCAACAAGGAAGCGACGGCUAACUACGUGCCAGCAGCCGCGGUAAAACGUAGGUCACAAGCGUUGUCCGGAAUUACUGGGUGUAAAGGGAGCGCAGGCGGGAAAGCAAGUUGGAAGUGAAAUCCAUGGGCUCAACCCAUGAACUGCUUUCAAAACUGUUUUUCUUGAGUAGUGCAGAGGUAGGCGGAAUUCCCGGUGUAGCGGUGGAAUGCGUAGAUAUCGGGAGGAACACCAGUGGCGAAGCGGCCUACUGGGCACCAACUGACGCUGAGGCUCGAAAGUGUGGGUAGCAAACAGGAUUAGAUACCCUGGUAGUCCACACUGUAAACGAUGAUUACUAGGUGUUGGAGGAUUGACCCCUUCAGUGCCGCAGUUAACACAAUAAGUAAUCCACCUGGGGAGUACGACCGCAAGGUUGAAACUCAAAGGAAUUGACGGGGGCCCGCACAAGCAGUGGAGUAUGUGGUUUAAUUCGACGCAACGCGAAGAACCUUACCAAGUCUUGACAUCCUGCGACGGUGCUGGAAACAGUACUUUCCUUCGGGACGCAGAGACAGGUGGUGCAUGGUUGUCGUCAGCUCGUGUCGUGAGAUGUUGGGUUAAGUCCCGCAACGAGCGCAACCCUUAUGGUCAGUUACUACGCAAGAGGACUCUGGCCAGACUGCCGUUGACAAAACGGAGGAAGGUGGGGAUGACGUCAAAUCAUCAUGCCCUUUAUGACUUGGGCUACACACGUACUACAAUGGCGUUAAACAAAGAGAAGCGAGACCGCGAGGUGGAGCAAAACUCAGAAACAACGUCCCAGUUCGGACUGCAGGCUGCAACUCGCCUGCACGAAGUCGGAAUUGCUAGUAAUCGCAGAUCAGCAUGCUGCGGUGAAUACGUUCCCGGGCCUUGUACACACCGCCCGUC
rnacentral:rRNA from 1 species